GCUGCUGUAGCUCAGUGGUAGAGCACUCCAUUGGUAAUGGAGAGGUCGACAGUUCAAUCCUGUCCAGCAGCA
rnacentral:tRNA from 1 species